rnacentral:rRNA from 1 species
GACGAACGCUGGCGGCGUGCUUAACACAUGCAAGUCGAACGGUGAAAGCGGAGCUUGCUCCGCUGGAUCAGUGGCGAACGGGUGAGUAACACGUGGGCAACCUGCCCCUCACUUCGGGAUAACUCCGGGAAACCGGGGCUAAUACCGGAUAUGACCUCCUUGGGCAUCCUUGGAGGUGGAAAGUUUUUCGGUGAGGGAUGGGCCCGCGGCCUAUCAGCUUGUUGGUGAGGUAGUGGCUCACCAAGGCGACGACGGGUAGCCGGCCUGAGAGGGCGACCAGCCACACUGGAACUGAGACACUGUCCAGACUCCUACGGGAGGCAGCAGUGGGGAAUUUUGGACAAUGGGGGCAACCCUGAUCCAGCAAUGCCGCGUGAGUGAAGAAGGCCUUCGGGUUGUAAAGCUCUUUUGUCAGGGAAGAAACGGUGGGAGCGAAUAACUUCUACUAAUGACGGUACCUGAAGAAUAAGCACCGGCUAAC